ensembl:lncRNA
GAUGCUGGUUCAAGGAGAAUGAGAGACAUAUUGAAAGGAUCUGGAUCCAAUCAACAGUUUGAAACCAGAUCUAGUAACCUCCAGUUUAUCUGCAGGGGUUCACAGCUAAGAGUUUGCUUUUAGUCUCAGAGAAGAUUUUGGACUUAGACUUUUCAGCCAUGUGAAACUGUCACAACUUUGGUGAUGCGAGAUGGACUAAAUGCAUUUUGCAUAAAGAAAUACACACGAGUCUUUUGGGGCUCAGGGAUGGAAUGUUAUGGUUUAGAUCUAAAAUGGCUCCAAAAGUUUCAUGUGUUUGGAAGGUGAUCAGAUUAUGAAGGUACUAUACCUGAUUUGCUCUUAGGAGUUGGGAUCCGGUUGGAAGAGGCCCAUCACUGAGGGUGACCUGGAAGAGCAUAUCUCUACUCCUGGUUCCUCCCUUUUCUCUUUGGUUCCUGGCAGCUGUGACAUGAGCAGCUUUCCUCCACCCAGGCCCUUCUACUGUGCUGUCUUCUGCAUCUGGACCUGCCAACCAUGGACUGAAGCCUCUAAAAGCUGUGAGCCAAAAUAAACCUCUCCUUUAAGUUGUGAGGGUCAAGUAUUGUGU